AGCCAUGCAUGUCUAAGUAUAAGCAAUCUAUACCGUGAAACUGCGAAUGGCUCAUUAAAUCAGUUAUCGUUUAUUUGAUAGUACCUUACUACUUGGAUAACCGUGGUAAUUCUAGAGCUAAUACACGCUAAAAACCCCGACUUCGGAAGGGGUGUAUUUAUUAGAUAAAAAACCAAUGCCCUUCGGGGCUCCUUGGUGAUUCAUAAUAACUUAACGAAUCGCAUAGCCUUGUGCUGGCGAUGGUUCAUUCAAAUUUCUGCCCUAUCAACUUUCGAUUGUAAGGUAUUGGCUUACAAUGGUUU
rnacentral:rRNA from 1 species